rnacentral:tRNA from 1 species
GCCUGGCUGGCUCAGUCAGUAGAGCAUGUGACUCUUGGUCUCAGGGUUGUGAGUUCAAGUCCCACAUUGGGCG